rnacentral:rRNA from 1 species
UAGGGAAUCUUCCACAAUGGACGCAAGUCUGAUGGAGCAACGCCGCGUGAGUGAAGAAGGUUUUCGGACCGUAAAGCUCUGUUGUUGGUGAAGAAGGAUAGAGGUAGUAACUGGCCUUUAUUUGACGGUAAUCAACCAGAAAGUCACGGCUAACUACGUGCCAGCAGCCGCGGUAAUACGUAGGUGGCAAGCGUUGUCCGGAUUUAUUGGGCGUAAAGCGAGCGCAGGCGGAGGAAUAAGUCUGAUGUGAAAGCCCUCGGCUUAACCGAGGAAUUGCAUCGGAAACUGUUUUUCUUGAGUGCAGAAGAGGAGAGUAGAACUCCAUGUGUAGCGGUGGAAUGCGUAGAUAUAUGGAAGAAUACCAGUGGCGAAGGCGGCUCUCUGGUCUGCAACUGACGCUGAGGCUCGAAAGCAUGGGUAGCGAACAGGAUUAGAUACCCUUGGUAGUCCAUGCCGUAAACGAUGAGUGCUAAGUGUUGGGAGGCUUCCGCCUCUCAGUGCUGCAGCUAACGCAUUAAGCACUCCGCCUGGGGGAGUACGACCGCAAGGUUGAAAC